UCCAAGUGCACAAAACCCUCAAUUUCCUUUCCCGCCAUUUGCCUUCCUCUUCCCUCCUAUCCAUCCGCAUCCGCAACAGCAAUGAGCCACCCGUGUCAGUUGUCUCCCUCUGCGUAGCAGAAAAACGGCAGCUGAUGUUCACCGCAUUCAGGUCAUGCUCUUCUUCACUCUACUUUACCCACCACACUCUUUCGCUUCAUCCCCUCAGAAAACCACUCGGCUUUAAGCCCUACUUUCUCAUCUAUUCUUCCUUCCCCGCAAAACCCUUCUCUCAGAGAUCCCUCUUUCUCUCGAUUCCAUUAGUUAAUCCAGGAUCAAUAGCAGCAAUGGCUUCUCGCCCUUCUGCCUUCGACCUCCUCAUGUCCAAUGCCAGCAAGAAAAAGUCCGAGCAGAAACAACAAAAACCAUCUCCCAAGAAACGCAAAACCACCACCCCCACCAUCACUUCUCAAAAUUCUGCUCCGAUUUCAGUCAAAAAAGAUAUGAAAAAUGACGAUUCGAGCAAGAUUAAGGAUGCCCAGCUGGGGAAAAGUGAGGAAGCGGUGGUUAAGAAACCUAAGGUGGUAAUUACUCCUGAUGAGAGCCUUCUUGAGUUGAAGGAUAAGGCGGCAAGUUUUGAUCCCAAGAAGGCGGCAUAUUGGGGAAAGGGACAAAGGGUGCCGUUUAUGUUUGUAGCGAAGGCGUUGGAUGCUAUUUCUAAAGAAUCAGGGCGGAUUGCGAUAACUGCAAUUGUUUGUAACAUGUUGAGGACUGUGAUGGAAACGACGCCAGAGGAUUUGGUGGCUGUUGUUUACCUUUUGGCGAACCGGAUUGCUUCAGCUCAUGAAGGAUUGGAGCUUGGGAUUGGGGAUGCUUCGAUUAUUAAGGCUCUGUCCGAGGCGUGCGGAACAAAAGAAGCACAAAUUAAGAAGCAGUACAAGGAGCUUGGAGAUCUAGGCCUUGUUGCAAAAGCAAGCCGUUCGUCUCAGUCUUUAAUGCGCAAACCAGAAGCACUAACUGUUGUUAAAGUUUUUGAUACAUUUCGCCUUAUUGCUAAGGAAUCUGGUAAGGAUAGUCAAGAGAAGAAAAAGAAUCAUAUCAAGGCACUACUGGUUGCUGCUACUGAUUGUGAACCUCAGUACUUGAUUCGUCUGCUCCAGGCGAAACUGCGCAUUGGUUUAGCUGAGCAAACUCUGUUAGCUGCUUUGGGCCAUGCUGCAGUUUAUGCUGAUAAGCAAUCUUCAACUCCUGCAAAUAUAGAUUCUUCUUUAGAAGAGGCUGCUAAAAUCGUGAAACAAGUUUACUCGGUAAUUCCAGUCUAUGAUAAAAUAAUCCCUGCUCUUCUUGCUGAUGGUGUAUGGGAUCUUCCCAUGACAUGUAGCUUUUCACCUGGUGUUCCUGUUGGACCUAUGCUAGCAAAACCAACUAAGGGAGUUUCUGAAAUAUUGGAUAAGUUUCAGGAUAUUGAAUUCACCUGUGAAUACAAGUAUGAUGGAGAACGUGCGCAGAUUCACUACAUGGAGGAUGGUACAGUGGAGAUAUAUAGUCGAAAUGCAGAAAGAAACACUGGAAAGUAUCCUGAUGUUGUGGAUGCAAUUUCAAGGUUUAAAAGGCCGUCUGUAACCUCAUUUGUUCUUGAUUGUGAAAUUGUUGCAUUUGAUCGUGAGAAGAAAAAAAUUCUCCCCUUCCAGGUCCUCAGCACACGGGCUCGUAAAAAUGUGGUCUUGAGUGAAAUAAAGGUUGGUGUUUGCAUAUAUGCUUUUGAUAUCUUGUAUAUCAAUGGCCAACCUCUCCUACAAGCACAGCUUGACAGUCGAAGGCAGCAUCUUUACGAGUCAUUUGAGGAAGAACCUGGCUUUUUUCAAUUUGCUACAGCAGUAACAUCAAAUGAUCUUGAGGAAAUACAGAAGUUCCUUGAAGCUGCUGUUGAUGCCAGUUGUGAGGGGUUGAUAAUUAAGACAUUGAAGAAAGAUGCCACGUAUGAGCCUUCCAAGCGGUCAAAUAACUGGCUGAAGUUGAAAAAGGAUUACAUGGAUAGUACGGGUGACUCACUGGAUUUGGUUCCCAUUGCUGCUUUCCAUGGCCGGGGAAAACGUACCGGUGUUUAUGGAGCCUUUCUCCUUGCUUGUUAUGAUGUCAACAACGAAGAAUUCCAGAGCAUAUGUAAAAUUGGCACUGGAUUUUCUGAAGCUGUGCUUGAAGAGCGCUCUGCCAGCUUGCGCUCUAAAGUUAUUCCGAAGCCAAAGUCUUAUUACCGGUACUCAGAUACAAUCAAUCCAGAUGUAUGGUUUGAACCUAUUGAGGUUUGGGAGGUAAAAGCUGCUGAUCUGACUAUCAGUCCUGUUCAUCGUGCUGCUACUGGUAUUGUGGAUUCAGACAAGGGAAUUUCUCUUCGGUUUCCACGUUUACUACGGGUUCGAGAAGAUAAGAAUCCAGAGGAUGCCUCUUCUGCUGAUAUGGUAGCAGAUAUGUAUAGAGCUCAGAAACACAAUCAAAGUAACCGUGAUGAUGAUGAGCAAUAAUGAAAGCAAUUAGUUGGAUAUUUUAGUUCAUUUAUAGAAAUGAUGCCUAUUGUGCAUGUCUGGGCAUCCACAAAACACUUUCCAGGUGUUACAUGUAUAAUUUGAUCUAUAUCUGGGCAAAGGAAAGAAGGCGGAAAAAAAGAAAAAGAAAGACGGACUUCCAAGACUGUUGCUUAUACGGUGGGAGCAUUAUCCCUCGGGUUAUUACUUGGUCUGAAUGUGUUCUAGAAAAUGGCACAUGUUACAGCUGGAGACCGAGUAUUUACUUGACCUGCUUGUGCAUGUUGUCAAGAGGAAGAAGACAUCGCGUUUCCACGGGAAAACGCAGUUGUGAUACAACUGGAAUGCCUCUUCACAGUUUCAUAUCUACGAUAUUGUCUUUCUCUAUCAA